GAGUUUGAUCAUGGCUCAGGACGAACGCUGGCGGCGUGCUUAACACAUGCAAGUCGAACGAUGAACCACUUCGGUGGGGAUUAGUGGCGAACGGGUGAGUAACACGUGGGCAAUCUGCCCUGCGCUCUGGGACAAGCCCUGGAAACGGGGUCUAAUACCGGAUACUGAGCCUCGCAGGCAUCUGUGAGGUUCGAAAGCUCCGGCGGUGCAGGAUGAGCCCGCGGCCUAUCAGCUUGUUGGUGAGGUAAUGGCUCACCAAGGCGACGACGGGUAGCCGGCCUGAGAGGGCGACCGGCCACACUGGGACUGAGACACGGCCCAGACUCCUACGGGAGGCAGCAGUGGGGAAUAUUGCACAAUGGGCGAAAGCCUGAUGCAGCGACGCCGCGUGAGGGAUGACGGCCUCGGUUGUAA
rnacentral:rRNA from 1 species